rnacentral:rRNA from 1 species
UUGCGGUCUGUAUACAGGUGCUGCAUGGCUGUCGUCAGCUCGUGCUGUGAAGUGUUGGGUAAGUCCGCAACGAGCGCAACCCUAUCAUCUGUUGCCAGCAUUUAAGGUGGGGACUCAGAUGAGACUGCCGGUGGACAAACCGGAGGAAGGUGGGGACGACGUCAAGUCAUCAUGGCCCUUAUGUCCUGGGCUACACACGUGCUACAAUGGCCGGUACAGAGUGAAGCGAAACCGCGAGGUGAAGCAAAACGCAGAAAGCCGGUCUCAGUACGGAUUGGAGUCUGAAACUCGACUUCAUGAAGUUGGAAUCGCUAGUAAUCGCGCAUCAGCAUGGCGCGGUGAAUACGUUCCCGGGCCUU